rnacentral:lncRNA from 1 species
GAGCAUAUGUUGUCUUUGAAGCCUGAGUCCAUACUUUGGUACGAGUUGGGGUGGUCCCCACUUUGCUUCCUUCCACAAUGUUGAGAAAAAUUUGGGGAUCACAAACCAGUAUGCGUCUGGAAAAGCAGAGUUGCUGCGAAAAACCAAAGCAAAAAAAACAAGAUAGACUAGACAAGAUGUUGGAAUUUGCAUUGCAGGUCUUGAGGCAUACCUUAUUAUGUUUUCCUG